AGCUAUAAGCACCUCAGUACUGUGUUCUCUUUAUUUAUUACUUACAACUGCUUAAAAAUGAUAUUUUUUCUGCCAAUGUUUCUAACAUUUAUGGAAAUACAAAUAUCCCCCUGAGCACUGUAAAAAUAACUUGAACGCGUACGAGACCAGAAACAAAAAAUAUCAUCAGGAAAAAAUCCAGUGAACAGCUUAUAAAUUUGGCGGGACCUUGGUCCAACAGAAGUGUGCAUAUAAUGUAACAGUUAAGGAUGAACAAAUGCAUGUACUUAAGUAAAUUCGUGGAACGUUUUCUUUAUUUCGCUGCUGGAAGAGCACAAUAAUUACGCCAUUAGGAAGUACUUCAGGCGAGCCGAGCAGCGAAGCUGAAUAUGUUGAACAAUGUACCAUUUGCGCGCCCGAUUCUUGGAAGAUAUUUGACCAUGGCGAGACUCAAAUAAAGGUCGAUAAUGAAUAAUGACUUGUAUGAGAUGACAAUGUUAACUGAAAUAAUUGGUAAAAACUAUAAUUGUUAUAAAGUUAGUUUAUUUUUUUGUAAACUUUAUCAUAAACAUUUCAAACUAACGAUGAAGAAAACGUAAACUGAUAUGCACACAA
rnacentral:lncRNA from 1 species